rnacentral:rRNA from 1 species
AAAGAAACUAACAAGGAUUCCCUUAGUAACGGCGAGUGAACCGGGAAAAGCUCAAAUUUGAAAUCUGGCGGUCUAUUGGCCGUCCGAAUUGUAAUCUAGAGAAGUGUUUUCCAGCGCUGGGCCGUGUCCAAGUCCUUUGGAACAGGGCGUCAGAGAGGGUGAGAAUCCCGUCCAUGGCACGGAUGACCAGCGCUUUUGUGAUACACUCUCAACGAGUCGAGUUGUUUGGGAUUGCAGCUCAAAAUGGGUGGUAAAUUCCAUCUAAAGCUAAAUACGGGCGAAAGACCGAUAGCGAACAAGUACCGUGAGGGAAAGAUGAAAAGCACUUUGGAAAGAGAGUUAAACAGGACGUGAAAUUGUUGAAAGGGAAACGCUUAAAGUCAGUCGCGUCUUCAGAAACUCAGCCCGGCCGCGUGCGGCCAGGUGUACUUUUCUGUCCAAGACGGGCCAGCGUCAGUUCCGGCCACCAGAAAAAGGAGAGAGGAAAGUGGCACUCCCCCCCCGGGGAGUGUGUUUAUAGCCUCUUCUUCGUAUGUGGUGGUUCUUUUUUUUUGUUGGGACUGAGGACCGCAGCACGCCACAUUAGUUUGUGAUCGGGGUUCGCCCACGUACCGUGCUUAGGAUGCUGGCGUAAUGACUUUAAACGACCCGUCUUGAAACACGGACCAAGGAGUCUAACAUGCGUGCGAGUAUUUGGGUGGUGAAAACCCAUAUGCGGAAUGAAAGUGAGACACACAUUAUUUGUUGUUGGGACUUCUGUCAUGGAAGGCACCGACACCCGGACCUGACCCAACCCCCUCCCCUCACGGGGAAAACGGGUCCGAGGCAGAGCAUGUAUGUUGGGACCCGAAAGAUGGUGAACUAUGCCUGAGUAGGGCGAAGCCAGAGGAAACUCUGGUGGAGGCUCGUAGCGAUUCUGACGUGCAAAUCGAUCGUCGAACUUGGGUAUAGGGGCGAAAGACUAAUCGAAC